rnacentral:rRNA from 1 species
UACGUAGGGGGCUAGCGUUGUCCGGAUUUAUUGGGCGUAAAGAGCGUGUAGGCGGCCAGGUAGGUCUGCUGUGAAAACUCGAGGCUUAACCUCGAGAUGUCGGCGGAAACCAUCUGGCUAGAGUCCGGAAGAGGAGAGUGGAAUUCCUGGUGUAGCGGUGAAAUGCGCAGAUAUCAGGAAGAACACCAAUGGCGAAAGCAGCUCUCUGGGACGGUACUGACGCUGAGACGCGAAAGCGUGGGGAGCGAACAGG